GCCAGAGGUCACACGGUGCCACAUCUGGUGAAUAAAGUGGAUGAGAGGACACCUUUGCGUGUUUGACAGAAGUUGCUAUAAAUGUUUGAUCAACAAGCAUCCACUGUAAUUUUCCAUCACCCCCAUAAAGUGGAGAGAAGAAUCAUAUCUCCAGCACUUACCACCUGAAGGCUUGAGUGACCCAGAAGCAAGGACAGCCAUGUAGAAACGUGAUUGAACGAAAAGGGUGUCAGUGAAUGGUGACAGAACAAGGAACACAGGGAGGCUGGUCCAGGUUCCUCUUGGCUCUGUGCAGAGUUCCUUUGGGGAGGGCCUGGGCCCUCCAAGCUUGGAGUCUAAUGAUCAGACAGAGGAUGUCAGAGCAUUUCUUUAUGGCCCACUCUUACACUGAAAGGAGCUUCGAAGAUGGCUGA
rnacentral:lncRNA from 1 species